rnacentral:rRNA from 1 species
ACGAUAACGAACGAGACCUUAACCUGCUAAAUAGCCCGUAUUGCUUUGGCAGUACGCUGGCUUCUUAGAGGGACUAUCGGCUCAAGCCGAUGGAAGUUUGAGGCAAUAACAGGUCUGUGAUGCCCUUAGAUGUUCUGGGUCGCACGCGCGCUACACCGACAGAGCCAGCGAGUACUCCCUUGGCCGGAAGGCCCGGGUAAUCUUGUUAAACUCUGUCGUGCUGGGGAUAGAGCAUUGCAAUUAUUGCUCUUCAACGAGGAAUGCCUGGUAAGCGCGUGUCAUCAGCACGCGUUGAUUACGUCCCUGCCCUUUGUACACACCGCCCGUCGCUAAUACCGAUUGAAUGGAUAG